rnacentral:rRNA from 1 species
CGAAAGCCUGACGGAGCAACGCCGCGUGAGGGAUGAAGGCCUUUGGGCUGUAAACCUCUUUUCUCAAGGAAGAAGAUCAGACGGUACUUGAGGAAUAAGCCACGGCUAAUUCCGUGCCAGCAGCCGCGGUAAUACGGGAGUGGCAAGCGUUAUCCGGAAUUAUUGGGCGUAAAGCGUCCGCAGGCGGCCGUUUAAGUCUGUUGUUAAAUCGUGGAGCUCAACUCCAUCACGGCAAUGGAAACUGUUCGGCUUGAGUAUGGUAGGGGCAGAGGGAAUUUCCGGUGUAGCGGUGAAAUGCGUAGAUAUCGGGAAGAACACCAGUGGCGAAAGCGCUCUGCUGGACCAUUACUGACGCUCAUGGACGAAAGCCAGGGGAGCGAAAGGGAUUAGAUACCCCUGUAGUCCUGGCCGUAAACGAUGAACACUAGAUGUUGGGGGAAUCGACCCCCUCGGUGUCGUAGCUAACGCGUUAAGUGUUCCGCCUGGGGAGUACGCACGCAAGUGUGAAACUCAAAGGAAUUGACGGGGGCCCGCACAAGCGGUGGAGUAUGUGGUUUAAUUCGAUGCAACGCGAAGAACCUUACCAAGGCUUGACAUCCUGCGAAUCUCCGAGAAAUUGGAGAGUGCCUUCGGGAACGCAGUGACAGGUGGUGCAUGGCUGUCGUCAGCUCGUGUCGUGAGAUGUUGGGUUAAGUCCCGCAACGAGCGCAACCCACGUUUUUAGUUGCCAGCAUUCAGUUGGGCACUCUAGAAAGACUGCCGGUGACAAACCGGAGGAAGGUGUGGACGACGUCAAGUCAUCAUGCCCCUUACGCCUUGGGCUACACACGUACUACAAUGCUGCGGACAAAGAGUAGCGAUCUUGCGAAAGUUAGCUAAUCUCGUAAACCGUGGCUCAGUUCAGAUCGUAGGCUGCAACUCGCCUACGUGAAGGAGGAAUCGCUAGUAAUCGCAGGUCAGCAUACUGCGGUGAAUACGUUCCCGGGCCUUGUACACACCGCCCGUCACACCAUGGAAGUUGGCCAUGCCCGAAGUCGUUACUCUAACCUUUUGGAAGAGGGCGCCGAAGGCAGGGCUGAUGACUGGGGUGAAGUCGUAACAAGGUAGCCGUAGCGGAAGCUGCGGCUGGAUCACCUCCUAA